AUUGAACGCUGGCGGCAGGCCUAACACAUGCAAGUCGAGCGGAUGAAGGGAGCUUGCUCCUGGAUUCAGCGGCGGACGGGUGAGUAAUGCCUAGGAAUCUGCCUGGUAGUGGGGGAUAACGUCCGGAAACGGGCGCUAAUACCGCAUACGUCCUGAGGGGGAAGGUGGGGGAUCUUCGAACCUCCCGCUAUCAGAUGAGCCUAGGUCGGAUUAGCUAGUUGGUGGGGUAAAGGCCUACCAAGGCGACGAUCCGUAACUGGUCUGAGAGGAUGAUCAGUCACACUGGAACUGAGACACGGUCCAGACUCCUACGGGAGGCAGCAGUGGGGAAUAUUGGACAAUGGGCGAAAGCCUGAUCCAGCCAUGCCGCGUGUGUGAAGAAGGUCUUCGGAUUGUAAAGCACUUUAAGUUGGGAGGAAGGGCAGUAAGUUAAUACCUUGCUGUUUUGACGUUACCAACAGAAUAAGCACCGGCUAACUUCGUG
rnacentral:rRNA from 1 species